CAAUGAAGAAGCUACCAAGCACCUAGAGACAAGCAAGCAGUUGGCAGCAGCCUUCCAAGAGGAGUUCACAGUGCGAGAGGACCUGAUGGGACUGGCAAUUGGGACUCACGGUGCCAACAUCCAGCAGGCCCGAAAAGUACCUGGGGUGACCGCCAUUGAGUUGGGUGAAGAGACCUGCACUUUCCGCAUCUACGGGGAGACUCCCGAGGCUUGCCGACAGGCCCGAAGCUACCUUGAGUUUUCUGAGGACUCAGUGCAAGUGCCCAGGAACCUGGUUGGUGAGUUGGUGGUGUGUAUAUACAGUCAGAGGUCAGAAUCAAGAUUCUCUACAGUGAUUCUGAGCUUGUAUCCAGGAUUGGCACCUCCCUGUGGACUCCCAGUUUCACAGGGACAGAGAAACAGUCUGUAAUGGGAGUGAUAAAAAUGAAAGAAUAAAUUUCUAGGGAUUGUAACAUUUUGUCCUGUAAAAACACAUCAGAAACCUAGAAGCAGGGGAAUGAAGUAAAUGGAAUCCAUAUAAAGAAAAUGAGGCUGGAAGACGGUGUAUCAGCUUUAUUCUUAUUUCCUUAAAAAAAAAAAAAG
rnacentral:sRNA from 1 species